rnacentral:rRNA from 1 species
GCUAUCUGCAGUCGAGGGGCAGCAGGGGUAGCAAUACCCGCUGGCGACCGGCAAACGGGUGCGGAACACGUACGCAACCUUCCUUCAAGCGGGAGAUAGCCCGGAGAAAUCCGGAUUAAUAUCCCAUAGGAUUGUGGAUCGGCAUCGAUCAGCAAUUAAAGAUUUAUCACUUGAAGAUGGGCGUGCGUCUGAUUAGGUAGUUGGUGAGGUAACGGCUCACCAAGCCGACGAUCAGUAACUGGCGUGAGAGCGCGACCAGUCACACGGGCACUGAGACACGGGCCCGACUCCUACGGGAGGCAGCAGUAAGGAAUAUUGGUCAAUGGACGCAAGUCUGAACCAGCCAUGCCGCGUGGAGGAUGAAGGUCCUCUGGAUUGUAAACUUCUUUUAUCUGGGAAGAAAUGGUUGCUUUCUAGCGAUCUUGACGGUACCAGAUGAAUAAGCACCGGCUAACUCCGUGCCAGCAGCCGCGGUAAUACGGAGGGUGCAAGCGUUAUCCGGAUUCACUGGGUUUAAAGGGUGCGUAGGCGGAACAGAAAGUCCGUUGUGAAAUCUCCGAGCUUAACUCGGAAAUUGCGGUGGAUACUAUUGUUCUUGAAUAUUGUUGAGGUUAGCGGAAUAUGUCAUGUAGCGGUGAAAUGCAUAGAUAUGACAUAGAACACCAAUUGCGAAGGCAGCUGGCUAAACAAAUAUUGACGCUGAGGCACGAAAGCGUGGGGAUCAAACAGGAUUAGAUACCCUGGUAGUCCACGCCCUAAACGAUGAUUACUCGACAUUUGCGAUACACAGCAAGUGUCUGAGCGAAAGCAUUAAGUAAUCCACCUGGGAAGUACGACCGCAAGGUUGAAA